ensembl:lncRNA
AGUGUAUAUGGUAAACCACAAUGAAGCAAAUUAAUUUCUAGUUUUAAAGGGUCUUUUAUUAUAAAGCAUUUAGAACAUGAGACAAGGUAAGGGAAAUAAUUUUUUAAAGUGUAAGGUACUGGGCAACCAGAAGAGAUCAUGAUCUAGAAAUAACUAGCAUUUUUGGUAUACGAAGUAGCUGGUCCUCCACCCUCUAACCCUGGACCUCUUAAACUCUGCUUCAGUCCCUCAACCUCAUGCCAGAGCGGGAGUUCUCUUUGUGCCAGGAUGACUCUUACCUCUGCCCUGCUGUGGAACUUAAAGGUUUAAUUCUAGGGCAAUUAACCUGCAGAUCUUCCUCAAAAUCUGUCGCCUUACUGUGAUUUAAUAAAAUAGCACAUGUUGUCCCUGGGAUAAUCGUGGACAAAGUUUCCAAUGGUUGGAGGGCAAUUCAAUGGAGUCAGGGGCUGCAUUAAGGAAAUCUAUUAUAGAGGAAGAAAGGACACAUCAUAAGAGUGUAAUGAGGAUGAGAACAGGCUAGAACACUUACAUUCCUGUUAGCACUUUGUGAAAAGCAUUUCGUGACAGAAAACUGCUAGUGCUGGCAGAUUAAUGAAGAGAGGACAAGAAAAACUGUUCUGUGAGCUUCAAACUAGGUCUAUCAUUAAAUUGGUUUAAACGUUACUUGGACACCGUCGAAUUAUAGUAUAUCCUUUUAGUGUGACUCUGGCCCAUAGAGUCAGCCUGAACAAUAGGGCCCUCAGAGCCAGCCUGGCUGCCUUUUGCUAUCGUGGCGUUUGAUCUUUUAUGAUUUUUGCACACCGUUUUCCCCCCGACUCUGUAUUGUUCCAUUCAUUCCCAUUGCUUGCUAUUUGAUGAUAGCUUCUCUAACUGCUUCUGUUUCUAUUUUUAUACCUCUGCUCUUUCCUCCUCUUCCCUCCCAUUUUCAGUUCUUUCCUGGUCUUGUUUUAAGGCAGCUUGGGUACAAAUUCUUGCUGUUCUUCCUCUCAUCUUUGUCUCCCUUAACAGCCAGCUCAAGUUUCACAUCUCUCACUGCUUCAGCCUAUACUGGUCUCUCCUUUCCUGCUGUACUUGCUGUCUGUGACUUUCUAUGUGGCACUAUAUAAUUUCUGACCUCAUUUCUUAAGUGAUUCAUAUGAAUGGCUUGCUUCUCCAGCUUUCUUGGAGGGAAAACAUCACCUUCAUUUUGUAUCCACUUUAGGGGAUAGCACAGUGUUGUAGAGGUAUUAGGUAAGCAAAAUAUACCUGUGUAGCGAACAAAUUAUGUAUUCAAGUCUUCUAUAACAUCAGGCACUCAAUCUUUUGUUUAAAGUUAAUGCCAUGUAAAAAUGGGUACGUAGGAUAUUAUUUUGAAUCUCAAAUAAUCUGAUUCUUAAAGUUAUAUUCUUUAUUUACUUUUAAUUUUCCUUUUAUAAUUCAAUCUGACAAGAGGGGCCAUCUGUGUAUGUGUGGGAAAUCCUUUGCGCAAUAUAGGCUUUCAGUAAAUACAGGUUUUAAAUAAUGCAAUGUGGAUAUGGCUCAAUAUAAUCUCUAAAUAACUACGAGGACUCUUCAAUAAGGGAAAUACUUUUCUGAUGGAUCAUUCAAAACACAUUUGUAGUAGACUUUUAAACUGUUAAUAAUCAUAGAGACUGUCUUAAUUGCUUUUGGAGUAAAGAAUUCUUUUGUAAUAUGAAGAACCUCUUGCUAAUUCAUCUGUUUUGCUAGACUGGAUUUUCUUAAAUUGGCUUGCUUUAAAAUGGGUAUACUUGUGCUUUAAAAAGCUCCAGAGACCUUCCAUCCAUCUACAAAUACAAAAAUAGCAAUAAUGACUGACAGUCCCCCCCUUCCCCUGUCAGUUAUGGGGACUAUUUAAGGUUCUAUCUUUUUCAUGCUCCAGAAAUAAUAUGGGGUUUAAAUUCAACUGCCUUUAAUCUGAAACACUGACUGAGCUCCAAACCACUUAGCAGCCUGCCACUUUUCAAUGGGAGGGGAAAACAGCGAUGUAAUUUACUGUCCACAUUUUAUAGUUUCCCCUUUAAAAAACUUGCUUACACAGUUCCUGUAUUUGCAGAGACUAGAGAGUGAGACAGCUUUUAAAUGUGGCCCUGGCUGGGCGAUGCUGGGAAGCCCAAGCAGCUGACAGGCUACCCUAGCUGGUGCAAGGUGAUGAGAGAUAAGGGGCUCUGGGAAUAAAGGUGUCAGGGAGAGUAUGAGGGAAGAUGUAAGCUACACAACAGGUUUGACAAGCCAAAGGGUAAGCACAGUAUGGGAGGGACAGAGGCUCAUGGCCGACCUGCGCUGCUGAACUCAGGUGUACAUCUAGGUAACAGUCGUAUCAUUGUUUUCAUCAGGCAGCAGCAUUUACUGGGUACUGACUCACUGCUUGGGAGUUUCUUCACCAUUACUCUCUCUGAACCCUGAUGUCUUAGAGAUUCAGCCAAAGGAACGUCUGUCCUCGCAUAUUAUCUUUAUUACUGAACAGGCAGUGUCUGCCCUGGACCUUGUCUAGGAAAACUGGAUAAGAGAACACAGAAGAAGGCAACUGUCUGCAAGCCAGGAAGAGAGCAGUCACUGGGCAACCGAGUUGACAGCACCUUGAUCUUGGACUUCUCAGACUCCUGAACUGUGAGAAAUAAAGAACUGUUGUUUAAGCCACCCAGUGUAUGGUAUUUUGUCAUGACAGCCCAAGCUGACUAAUACAGAUAGUUUCUGUUGUUUGCUACCAAAGAAUUGACUACUAUACAAAAUGAGUAGUGAGAAGACACAGUUUGACUUUUAGUACCCUGGUUCUGAGUUGAAGAAGAAAGGACAAAAGUCAAGCCAGCAAAUUUAGUGACUUACUAUCAUUUCUAGGAGGAAAAGUUUUUUGGAUAAGGAG